rnacentral:lncRNA from 1 species
CACAUUGUACUCUGGAUAAAGUUCACCAACUUGGGCUGCAAAAUCACCAAAGUGAGAGAUAGCUUCAGCACACAGAUGCCUACCAACUGCAGAUUUGUUCUCAUACACCAAGAUAUGUGCCAAUGCUACAUCCUUAAAGUGGACCGAUCCCAUAAAAAUGUUCUCAUAUGUUUCAUCAGAACCUGCCACGCCACAUACAAAAGGUCACAAAUUCUCAGUAAUUCCCCUAAAACAUCAUAAAUUGGGUAGUUUCAUGUUAAUAUUCCGGUCAACGAUUAUAGAUUAUAUGGUAAAAAAUUUAAUAAAAAAAAAGUGUAGUGAUUUUCACGAAUUAUAAAUGUCCUACGCAUCUAUACCAUCGACCAAGUUGUAGCAGGUCUUGUGAAAUUAGUCUAAUAGUUAGGUAACAACAACAGUAGCCCUAUUCACAUUAUACCAUUUUAAUCAGUUAAAAAUGUAUGCAUCAUUCAUCACAAGAUCCCUAACAUGGUGUUAAAUAGUGGUAUGCGACUAUGACUUUAGUGGUUCCGUCCACAGAUUUGGACGGAUGAAUACAAACAGAAAGCAUGAAAAUCAAAAGUAAAAAAUUGUUAGAUUCUUUCCUCGCAUAGCUGUGAGGAGUAGCAAAGAAAGUUGAAUAAACAUUAUAAUCAUAUAUUUACAAUAAAAUAUAUAUUCUAUAACGGAUCAUUACAUAGUCUGAUGACAUAUAUUUAUCAAAUAAUCCAUUUUUUUAAUAAUAUAAUUGAUUAUGGAAUAUACAUGUUAUUAUAUUUUUAUAUAAUUAUUAUAUUAUAUAUAUACACUAAAAAAAAUAUAAAUAUAGUAAAAAAAAUAAUUAGUUGUUAUAAUAACUAAAUUAGAAAUUAUUUUAAAAACUAAAAAAAAUAAUUUUUAAAUUAGUUUAUAUUAUUAUUAAAUAGUUUUGUAAUUUGUAUUUAAUUAGCUACCAAGGUUUUAACUCCCAAUUAUUUAAUUUCUAAAUUUGGUCGUAAAAAUUUUGGUUGCUAAUUAAAUACUAAUUUAAAAAUUAUUUAAUGAUAAUACAAACUAAUUUAGAAACUAAAGUUUUUUUUUCUCUAAAAUGAUUUAUAAUUUAGUUACUAUAUCAACUAAAUAUUUUUUAUUCUCUAAACAUAGUUUUCUAUUUGAUGUUUUUUUUUAGUGAUAUUAUUAAUUGAUUAAUAUUUGUAUUUUUAUUCUAAACAUAAUUAAUUAUACAAUAUAAUACAAUGUAAUAAUAAUAAGUAGUCAAACAAUAAAGAAAUAUAAAAUAAUAAUAAUAAAAUAGUCUCUACCUUGAAGAAGGUGCAAAAGCAUGAGCAUGCUUGCAUUAAGCCUCGGUGCAAUAACCGGACCCAACACCAUCCCAGGAUUCACUACAACAACAUCCCACUCACUCUCCUUUGCCAAAUCCCACGCUGCUUUCUCGGCCAAUGUCUUCGACAAUGGAUACCACAACUGUUGCACACACAAACACUUCACACCCCAACACAUAACAAAAACAAACACAAAAUUCAAAAAAUGAAAACCCUUUCUAACCGCUUUUUCCUUGCAAAAUUCAACGUCAGUCCAGCACUCCUCCUUCUUUGGAACAUCACCGGGCCAAUUGGGGCUCGGAACAAUCGCGGUGAUGGAGGACGUCACCACCACGCGACGCACUCCAGCUUCUUUCGCUGCCGUUAGCACGUUCACGGUGCCCUUUACCGCCGGGUCCAGAAGAUCCUUCUGCAUGAAGACCCAAAUGGGAUGAUGCAAAAACCCUAAAGAUUGAAAAUUUGCAAGAAGAUCGAGAGAACAAAACCUGGGGGUCCUGGACUUCAUCAACAAUGCAGGGAGAGGCGAUGUGGAAUACGCCGGCGCAGCCGCGCAUGGCUUCGAGUACGGAGUCGUAGUGGAGGAGCUCCAUCUGGAAGAGGCGGAGGCGCUCCGACGCUCCAUCCAAGGCUUUUAGAUGCUUUGUCUCGGCCUCAUCGUCUGUUAGAAAAGUUGUGUUGUGCUGUGUAAGUAUAUAUUGGGAUGAAACGAAUGAAUAAUGAGAGUGUGGAAUGUACUAACUGAGAUUUCGGACGGUGGCGUGAACGGUGUAGCCGCGGUCCAGAAGGAGGUGGACGAGCCAGGAAGCGAUGGCGCCGCUGCCGCCGGUGACACACACCACCUUCUCCAUUUUGCAACUUAAUUCUAACACGAAAACGAUCACUAGAGACUUGAGAAGUCCACUUUGAAAUCAAGAGAAGAAGAAAGAAACAAGUGUAAUGAUGUGACGAACAUACACAUUUUUAUAGAAUAAUAUCACUUCAAUACUAUUAUUUUAAACAUCUAUACAUCCGUAUUUUAUUAUUUUAUUCAAUUUUUAUGUUAAAUUUCAUAAAAAAUUAACAUUAAAUAUAUAAAAAAUAUUACUUAAAAAAUAUUUAUUUUCUUUUUCAAUUUGAGUUUUUUUUUUUUUGAAGUUUUUACUCUUCUUCCAUUGAUAGUUUUGGAAUGAGAGAGUAUAAUGAUGAUAAUGAUUUUAUAAAAAAAUAUAAUUGUUUCUAAUGAGGAAUUGAAAAUAAAUGUUAUUUUAUUUGUUAAAUUUUAUGUAAAAACUUGAUCGUAUGUUUUAUUUUUUUCUUUUGUCUUAAAAUUAAGAAAAGAGUAGGAGAUGUGCAUAUGCAAUAAUAUUAAAAUAAAAAAUAGUUUUAAUUUUUAAUUAAUUUAUAUAAAAUAAUAAAAUAUUUAAUUAUAUUAAUAAAAUGAGAUAUAUUAAAUAAAGAUAAAAUAAAUUAUACACUAAAAAUCGAUUAUAAUAAAAAAAUUAUAUAUAGAUAUAAAUAUUUUUUUAUAUUAUUUAAUUUCAAAGUUAGUCUUUAUUAUAUAUAUUUAAUUGUCAAACUGUAUUAAAAAAAAAAGACAGGGACAGUAGAAUUAAUUUGACAGAAAACGAAAGACAUGGAAAAUUUGACAACAAAAAUAUCGAAAUCAGCAAUGCAGAAUUAAUUAUAGGAAAGUUGGUGAGUACGAAAACCAAUCCAAUUUUUUAAAGGAUCCGGAUUUUUGACAACGUACGCAUCGUAUAACUCUGAAAAAAUCUUAAUAUUUUAAUAGUGUGUGAUCUUCUGUCAUAUUGGAAUCUUUUUCUUAUCUUUUUUGUAGUUUUCAUAUUUUGAGGUUUCUUUCUUUUUUUUAAGCUUCACUAUGUAUUUGCAAAUUUUUCUUUGUGCACUGAAACAUUUAUUUUUUCUUCUGUAUUGUUUUUAUUUGAUCUCGGUUUUAUUUAUUGUUAUCGUUAUUCAUAAUAAUAUUAUUUUUAUUAAUACUAUUAUUAAAAUUAAUAAUAAUACUAAUACUAAUAUUAAUAAUAAUUUAAAUAAUAAAAAUAAUUUUAAUAUUACUACUAAUUAUAAUAAUAUUAUUAUUAUUAGUAAUAAUAUUAGUAUUAGUAGUAAUUAUAAUAAUAAUAAUUAUUAUUAUUAUAAUAAUAUUUUUUAACUAGUGUUAUUUAUUUAUCUUUAUAUUCUUACAAUUCCGAUUUAAUUUAGUCAAAUAUAUUCUUAAAGAAAAAAAAUAUUUAUUGUCAAACAUAAUUUUGAAUUGGAUUUUUUGACAUCAUUGUUAUAAUUUUAUUCAAAAUGAUUUUUUUUAUGUUUAAAUUUCAUAUUGUGAUUAAAUUUAGUAUGAAAGAUUUUAUUUAUUGAAGUACUGAGCAAUUGGACUCGAGUAUGAUUGAGGUUAAUCCGUUGGUCAUUUAAAAAAAUGGUUUAGGAAGUGGUGACCUAGUCUAACGGUUAGAGAGGAUGAUGAAUAAGGUGAAUUGAGUUUGUUUAUAACACAUUAAAUUUAUUAUUCACAUGAAAUUUAUUUUUCACAUGAAAAAUGAAAUCUAUUACUUUAAACAUGAUUGUUAAUAUGGAUAACAAAGACCUACUAACUAAUAAAAUUGUCUUAAAUCAUAAAUUAAAAUUAUUCUACACAACUACAAGUUGGAUUGAUUCGUUAUAAUAAUUGUACACGGAUAACAGUAACAUUAGAGAAAUUCAGCUUGUACGAGACUGUUUUCUCAAUGCCUUGUUUGAGAUUUUAUAUUUUGUUUGACUGUGUGGCUUUGUCGGUAUGGUAGACGUUCCUUGGUAGAAAGAGGAUAAAGUACAAAUUUGUAUAAGGGUUAGACCACUAUGUAGUGGUUCAUAUUUAUUAUUUUUUAUUGAUAAUAAAAAAACAAUUUUAUUAUCAUUUUAUUUUAUUUAUUUUGAUGGAUGUAUUACAAUAGUAUAAUAAAUUAUUAUAGAAUCAUAAUUUUGUAUUAGUUUUUUUUUACGUUCAAGUUAUAUUUAGUAUGUAUUUUUUUAAAAUAAAAUCAUAUUUAUAGAUUUUUGAACUUAUUGAAAUAUCGAAUAAAAUUAUUUGAAAAAUCUAUUAUUGAAUAUUAUAGAUCAUUCCAAGACUCAAUCAUAGAGGAACACAAACUCAUAGUACCAAAGGAUAACUUUUUUUUCAUUAAUUUAAUUUCCAACUCAUUGAGAUAAUUAUAAAAGCAUUUCUAUCCAUAACAUUAUGACAAAAUGUAAAGUACACUUUAUUUUCUUAAUAUAUAUAAUUUGACUUUGAUUAACCAAGUGGGCUUGCUGAUAAAAAAAAAACCAAGUGGGCUUCUUCAAUACCUGCAUCAUUUUAAUAUUUGGUAACAUUGUUUAUGGUUUCCCAAUUUUUACUUUAUGCAUAUGGACCCACUUUUUGUUUGUUGCUAUUUUACUUUAUUCAUUUUCAUUUUAUUUUUAAUUCAAAAUAUUAUUAUAUUAUUAUAAGUGUAUCUUAUUUACUGUUGUUUAUUGUUUAUGGUUUUAAAGUAACUUUUCUCUUUUGUCAUACAUUCACAUGGGGAGCGCUUAUUUGUUUGCAUGAAAAUUGGAAAUAAGGAGUUGAAGACGUACAAGAAAGAAAGAGUAACUCUAAAUAAAAGAAUAACUUCACUUUUUAAAAUAAUUAGUACGUUGAACCGUGGAACGCACGGGAAUUUUUUCAAUAUUUUAUAUGUAAAUAUUAAUAUUAAAAUUAAUAAUUUAAUUUAUUUAUAUAUAAUUUCAGUUAUACUUCCGUAUUUUUAUAUCUUUCUUAUAUAUUUUUAGUUGUAAUAUUUGAAAAAGUAGUUUUUGGAUCGAUCAAUACCAAAUGAGUGAGUUAUUUCACUUUGAAAAUUUAUCAACCACAUUAAAAUACAUUUAAGACACUCAAUAAAUGAGUUGCAACAAUUAUGAAAACUACCUACAAAUCAAAGUCAUAUCCCAUCUCGGUGAUACUCCGGGAAAAUAAUUAAUAUUAAUUUAUUGAAUAUAUUAUCUAAAUAUACAUAUCUAUAAAUCAGGGAAUCUCCUUAAAAAAUCACUUAACACUGAUAUUUGAUAAAUUCGACCCAUAACAAGAAAUGACUCAUGAGUAAACCCUUUACAAAGAAGGAAGAUACGCUUUUGAUCAAUUUCACUAUACACUCUUAACACAAGGUACUUACUUGAUCGUUGAAAAACCUUUUGCAAGUUAACUCCUAAUCGACUAUUGAGAAAUUGAGGAGAAGGAGUCUUGAAGUUUAAAUGAGUGAAGUACUGAGGAGCAAGGGAGGGACCGACAACCAAAACAAUUGUUACAGUCAAUCUCAUGUUAUAUCUAGUCUCACUUUGUCUAUACAAGUACAAGUACCAUAAUUUCAUCGUGUGUAAGAGGCUUGACGAGAAGAUUUGUUGUAUUUGACAUUCUCUAGUGGAAAGACAAUUUUUUUAGUUUUGUACUUCAUUUUUACACAUUGUUUUUUUGUGGUUUCCAAAAAAAAAAAAAACAAAACAAAAACAGAGUCACCACCGAACAAUCAUCAUCACUUGAAAAUGAAGAAGAUACAACACUCUCCAUCAAGUAUUGUUGGAAUUAAAAAAGAGUAUGUAAGUGGAGGAUGAAGAUAUGGAGGUGCAAAGAGAAUUCGCCAUCAAUUUUGUGCAUAUGGGACUACUUUUUUCAUCACAUUUUGGUAUCACCCUUCCUUCAUGGGUGUUUCUUUCUGCACCUUUAUAUUUUUCUUCCUGCACCCCAACAUUCAUGUGCAAUUACAAAAGUAUCUCUAAGACAUCUAAAAAACCCAAAAGGAGCAUAUCUCACUCUUUCUUUCUUCCUUUUCUACAAUUGUUGUAAAAAACGUGGUGGCCCACUUGCAGCAAACAGCAAAUAAUGGGCAAAGAAAACACGAUGACCCCACUUGCAGCAAACAGAAAAUAAUGAGUAAAUAAAAAAAUAGGGUUUGCAGGAAAUAUAGAAAAGAAUGAGGAAAGAAAAGAAUGGCAUGUGAAGGCAUUGUAAGGAAGGGUGAUGCCACAACGUUAUGAGAAUGAGUGGUUGUGAUGGAUGAAUGAAUAAUUAAGAUUCUUUCACAUUCUAAACAGUAUCUCACUUUCAUUCUCUAACCAUUUAUAGUAACAUCCCCACUUAUUCUUUCUUCUUUUAUAACAAAAAACAUAAACAACCACCCCUUUUUUCUUUCCUUUCUUUUAUUUACUACUUUUUUUAUAUCAUUUAAUUAUAAAUCUUUCUUUUGUUCUGAUCCCCAUGUGAAUGUCUGAAGAGGAAAUCAUUUAGGUGUCAAUAAGAACAUUGACAUAUUGGUUUAUAAUUAAAAAUUCUUGAUUUUGCAGACUUUAACUUUGAGUAGAAAGUUGAUAUUAUAUUAUUAUGUUUAUCUAUUUAUUAACUCAAAUUUAUUGAAUUGAAGAACUGAUUUUCUGCUUUGAUUUGUAAUAGAAUUAAACAAUUUUUAAAAUAAUUCAUAUUUAUUUAUUCCUUCAUACUAAUAAUAAAACUAACCACACCAACAAAAGUUUAACAACACAUAUGAUCGUGCCUUAUUUUACAACAACAGGAAUUUGCACCAAACAUAUGUGCCAUAAGGACUCAUAUUGCAGCAGCAAUUAUGGAAGGAAUCCUUUUUUCUUCAAAUCCUCUACAGAAUCCUUAAUAAUCUCCUCAAUUGGAGUGAUUUGCAAACCCAAAUCCAUAAGUUUCUUUGAUCCAUCCUUCACUCUCAAUAAUCCUGGUUGGGUAUCUCGUUGCAUCCUUUCAAGCAAAAUCACAAAGCACAUCAUUUACAAGUAAGUUAUGCAUUAACAAUACAUGUAUCAAGUGUGUGGCUAACUUACUUAGGCACUUUGUACUCUGGAUAAAGUUCACCAACUUUGGCUGCAAAAUCACCAUAGUGAGAGAUAGCUUCAACACACACAUGCCUACCAGCUGCAGAUUUGUUCUCAUACACCAAAAUAUGUGCCAAUGCUACAUCCUUAAAGUGAACCGAUCCCAUAAAAAUGUCCUCAUAUGUAUCAUCACAACCUGAGACGCAACAUACAAAAUGUCACAAAUUCUCAGUAAUUCCCCUGAAAAAUCAUAAAUUGGGUAGAGUUUGAUAUUUGUAUUCGGGUCAACGACUAUAGUGUGCAAAAAUAUAAUGAGAAGAGCAUAGCAUAAUCAAAUAAGUCUAAUACUUUUCACGAAGGCAUCAAGUUCUAAAUGCCCUACGCAACUAUAUACCAUGAACUAAGUUGUAGCAGGUCUUGUGAAAUUAGUCUAAUAACUAGGUAACAGAAACAGUAGCCCUAUUCACAUGAUACCAUUUUAUUCAGUUAAAAUAUUAUACAUUAUUCAUAAUAACAAGGUCCCUAACAUGGUGUUAAAUAGUUUUUUUAUGAGAAAAAAAAAUAAUCAAAAUAUUUCAAUUCAACCGUUAUAAGUCAUAACUAACUAGAUCUCUUAUAUUCAAUAAACAAGUUUCUAAAACAAACCCAAAACAUGACAAUCUACCAACAUGGUUUUCAAUAAUGGUAUGCAACUAUGACUUUAGUAUACAAUUCUUCUCAAAGGAUAUUUUCCUUUAAAAGAAAAAUUCCUUUGUCUUUCUGAGUGUCUCUCAGACACACCUUUCCAUGCAAUCAACGUUUCUCUAGUGGCUCAGUAAUACUUCUGUAAUAAUGCAGAAUAUUUCAGCACUUCUCAAUAUUCAAGAGACUCCUACUGCAAGAUUAGAAAGCAAUAUUUGGAAAAGGCAAUUGAUUAAGCAUAAGUCUCUCUCUACCUUGAAGAAGGCGCAAGAGCAUGAGCAUGCUUGCAUUAAGCCUGGGUGCAAUAACCUCACCCAAAACAAUGCCAGGAUUCACUGUAACAACAUCCAACCCACUCUCCUUUGCAAAAUCCCAAACUGCUUUCUCCGCCAAUGUCUUCGACAAUGAAUACCAC